rnacentral:rRNA from 1 species
UACGUAGGUGGCAAGCGUUAUCCGGAAUUACUGGGCGUAAAGCGCACGCAGGCGGUCUUUUAAGUUUGACGUGAAAGCUCUCGGCUUAACUGGGAGAGGUCGUUGAAGACUGGAAGGCUUGAGGCAAUGAGAGGGGUGUAGAAUUCCCGGUGUAGUGGUGGAAUGCGUAGAUAUCGGGGGGGAAUACCAGUGGCGAAAGCGGCACCCUAGCGUUAGCCUGACGCUCAUGUGCGAAAGCGUGGGGAGCGAACGGGG